AGUGAACGCUGGCGGCAGGCCUAACACAUGCAAGUCGAACGAAGUCUUCGGACUUAGUGGCGGACGGGUGAGUAACACGUGGGAACGUACCUUUUGGUUCGGAACAACUCAGGGAAACUUGAGCUAAUACCGGAUGAGCCCUUAGGGGGAAAGAUUUAUCGCCGAAAGAGCGGCCCGCGUUAGAUUAGCUAGUUGGUGAGGUAAAGGCUCACCAAGGCUACGAUCUAUAGCUGGUCUGAGAGGAUGAUCAGCCACACUGGGACUGAGACACGGCCCAGACUCCUACGGGAGGCAGCAGUGGGGAAUCUUGCGCAAUGGGCGAAAGCCUGACGCAGCCAUGCCGCGUGAAUGAUGAAGGUCUUAGGAUUGUAAAAUUCUUUUAUCAGGGACGAUAAUGACGGUACCUGGAGAAAAAGCCCCGGCUAACUUCGUGCCAGCAGCCGCGGUAAGAC
rnacentral:rRNA from 1 species